GUAGAAAUGGUUCUUAGGAAAAUCCGGGAACCUCUAUUUCAAGGCGUGAUAACGAGUCCUCUUUUGGACGAAGUGAGUGAUACCAUGCUUCCAGGAAAAUCCUCUAAGCUAUAGGUUAUAUGAAACCGUACCCCAAACCGACACAGGUGGACGAGAUGAGAAUUCUAAGGCGCUUGAGAGAACUCGGGUGAAGGAACUAGGCAAAAUGACACCGUAACUUCGGGAGAAGGUGUGCUCUUUGUAGGUGAUAUCACUAGCUGAUAAAGCUGAAAAGAGUUGAAGAAACCAGGUGGCUCCGACUGUUUAUUAAAAACACAGCACUCUGCAAACACGUAAGUGGACGUAUAGGGUGUGACGCCUGCCCGGUGCUUGAAGGUUAAUUGAUGAGGUUAGGAUUCGUCCGAAGCUUUUGAUCGAAGCCCAAGUAAACGGCGGCCGUAACUAUAACGGUCCUAAGGUAGCGAAAUUCCUUGUCGGGUAAGUUCCGACCUGCACGAAUGGCGUAACGAGGGCCACACUGUCUCCACCCGAGACUCAGUGAAAUUGAAAUUGCUGUUAAGAUGCAGUAUACCCGCGGCCAGACGGAAAGACCCCGUGCACCUUUACUACAGCUUUGCAUUGAACUCUGAUCCUACCUGUGUAGGAUAGGUGGGAGACUAUGAAACUUUAACGCUAGUUAGAGUGGAGUCAUCCUUGAAAUACCACCCUGGUAUGGUUGGGGUUCUAACCUAGGUCCGUUAUCCGGAUUGGGGACAAUGCAUGGUGGGUAGUUUGACUGGGGCGGUCUCCUCCCAAAGAGUAACGGAGGAGCGCAAAGGUACCCUCAGCACGGUCGGACAUCGUGCAAUGAGCGCAAAGGUAAAAGGGUGCUUGACUGCGAGACUGACACGUCGAGCAGGUAGGAAACUAGGUCUUAGUGAUCCGGUGGUUCUGAGUGGAAGGACCAUCGCUCAACGGAUAAAAGGUACGCCGGGGAUAACAGGCUGAUACCGCCCAAGAGUUCACAUCGACGGCGGUGUUUGGCACCUCGAUGUCGGCUCAUCACAUCCUGGGGCUGAAGCAGGUCCCAAGGGUAUGGCUGUUCGCCAUUUAAAGUGGUACGCGAGCUGGGUUUAGAACGUCGUGAGACAGUUCGGUCCCUAUCUACCGUGGGCGUUGGAGACUUGAGGGAAGCUGUUCUUAGUACGAGAGGACCGGAAUGGACACACCUCUGGUGUUUCGGUUAUGACGCCAGUCGUAUUGCCGAGUAGCUAUGUGUGGAAAGGAUAACCGCUGAAAGCAUCUAAGCGGGAAGCCCCUCCCAAGAUUAGGUCUCCCUGACAGUUUAACUGUCCUAAAGAUCCCUCGGAGACUACGAGGUUGAUAGGCACGGUGUGGAAGAGUAGUGAUACUUGAAGCUAACGUGUACUAAUUGAUCGUGAGGCUUGACCAU
rnacentral:rRNA from 1 species